CCUACGGGAGGCAGCAGUGAGGAAUAUUGGUCAAUGGGCGCGAGCCUGAACCAGCCAAGUCGCGUGAGGGAAGACGGUCCUAUGGAUUGUAAACCUCUUUUGUCGGGGAGCAAAAGACGCCACGCGUAGAGUUACGAGAGUACCCGAAGAACAAGCAUCGGCUAACUCCGGGCCAGCAGCCGCGGUACUACGGAGGAUGCGAGCGUUAUCCGGAUUUAUUGGGUUUAAAGGGUGCGCAGGCGGAAGAUCAAGUCAGCGGUAAAAUUGAGAGGCUCAACCUCUGCGAGCCGUUGAAACUGGUUAUCUUGAGUGAGAGAGAAGUAUGCGGAAUGCGUUGUGUAGCGGUGAAAUGCAUAGAUAUAACGCAGAACUCCGAUGGCGAAGGCAGCAUACCGGCGCUAAACUGACGCUCAUGCACGAAAGUGUGGGUAUCGAACAGGAUUAGAUACCCUUGUAGUC
rnacentral:rRNA from 1 species